rnacentral:rRNA from 1 species
ACUCAAAGGAAUAGACGGGGGCCCGCACAAGCGGCGGAGCAUGUGGAUUAAUUCGAUGCAACGCGAAGAACCUUACCUGGGUUUGACAUGCAUAGGACGGUCGUAGAGAUACGGUUUCCCUUGUGGCCUGUGUGCAGGUGGUGCAUGGCUGUCGUCAGCUCGUGUCGUGAGAUGUUGGGUUAAGUCCCGCAACGAGCGCAACCCUUGUCUCAUGUUGCCAGCGCGUGAUGGCGGGGACUCGUGAGAGACUGCCGGGGUCAACUCGGAGGAAGGUGGGGAUGACGUCAAGUCAUCAUGCCCCUUAUGUCCAGGGCUUCACACAUGCUACAAUGGCCGGUACAAAGGGCGGCGAUGCCGUGAGGUUAAGCGAAUCCUUUAAAGCCGGUCUCAGUUCGGAUCGGGGUCUGCAACUCGACCCCGUGAAGUCGGAGUCGCUAGUAAUCGCAGAUCAGCAACGCUGCGGUGAAUACGUUCCCGGGCCUUGUACACACCGCCCGU